UCCGAGUUGACCCCGGCAGUCUCUCAUGAGUCCCCAACCAAAUGCUGGCAACAUAAGACAAGGGUUGCGCUCGUUGCGGGACUUAACCCAACAUCUCACGACACGAGCUGACGACAACCAUGCACCACCUGUACACCAGCCACAAAGGGAAAGACUAUCUCUAGCCCGAUCCGGUGUAUGUCAAGCCCAGGUAAGGUUCUUCGCGUUGCAUCGAAUUAAUCCACAUGCUCCGCCGCUUGUGCGGGCCCCCGUCAAUUCCUUUGAGUUUUAGCCUUGCGGCCGUACUCCCCAGGCGGGGCGCUUAAUGCGUUAGCUACGGCACGAAAGUCGUGAAAAGACCCUCACACCUAGCGCCCACCGUUUACGGCAUGGACUAC
rnacentral:misc_RNA from 1 species